rnacentral:rRNA from 1 species
UGGGGAAUUUUGGACAAUGGGCGCAAGCCUGAUCCAGCCAUGCCGCGUGCGGGAAGAAGGCCUUCGGGUUGUAAACCGCUUUUGUCAGGGAAGAAAUCUUCUGAGUUAAUACCUCGGGAGGAUGACGGUACCUGAAGAAUAAGCACCGGCUAACUACGUGCCAGCAGCCGCGGUAAUACGUAGGGUGCAAGCGUUAAUCGGAAUUACUGGGCGUAAAGCGUGCGCAGGCGGUUUUGUAAGACAGAGGUGAAAUCCCCGGGCUCAACCUGGGAACUGCCUUUGUGACUGCAAGGCUUGAGUGCGGCAGAGGGGGAUGGAAUUCCGCGUGUAGCAGUGAAAUGCGUAGAUAUGCGGAGGAACACCGAUGGCGAAGGCAAUCCCCUGGGCCUGCACUGACGCUCAUGCACGAAAGCGUGGGGAGCAAAACAGGAUUAGAUACCCUGGUAGUCCACGCCCUAAAACGAUGUCAACUGGUUGUUGGGAAGGUUCCUUCUCAGUAACGUAGCUAACGCGUGAAGUUGACCGCCUGGGGAGUACGGCCGCAAGGUUGAAACUUAAAUGAAUUGACGGGGUCAUAGC